rnacentral:pre_miRNA from 1 species
CAUCAUAUCAUCUAGGGAUCUGGUUAAAAAGCAGAUUCUGACUCAGUAGGUUCAGGAUGGGGCCUAAGAGUCUGUAUUUCUAAGAAGCUCCCAGGAGAUGCUUAU